rnacentral:rRNA from 1 species
ACUCCUACGGGAGGCAGCAGUGGGGAAUCUUGCGCAAUGGGCGAAAGCCUGACGCAGCGACGCCGCGUGGGGGAUGAAGGCCUUCGGGUUGUAAACCCCUUUCGGCAGGGAAGAAGCCGCAAGGUGACGGUACCUGCAGAAGAAGCCCCGGCUAACUACGUGCCAGCAGCCGCGGUAAGACGUAGGGGGCGAGCGUUGUCCGGAUUUAUUGGGCGUAAAGCGCGCGUAGGCGGUUCGGUAAGUCGGUGGUGAAAACCCGGAGCUCAACUCCGGGCCUGCCUCCGAUACUGCCGAACUAGAGGCAGGUAGGGGAGAGUGGAAUUCCCGGUGUAGCGGUGAAAUGCGCAGAUAUCGGGAGGAACACCGGUGGCGAAGGCGGGUCUCUGGGCCGAUAUUGACGCUGAGGAGCGAAAGCGUGGGGAGCGAACAGGAUUAGAUACCCUGGUAG